AUGAUUGCCCGGUACUGGUGGAGCCAACAAGAUAAGCAGAACAAAAUCCAUUGGGUGGGAUGGCAGAAACUUACUAGGUCGAAAGGGCGAGGUGGUCUCGGCUUCAGAGAUAUCCAUGACUUCAAUAUUGCAAUGCUUGCCCGUCAGGUGUGGAGACUGCUUCAGGAACCCGAGAGCCUCUGUGCACAACUAAUGAAGGCCAAAUACUACCCUCACAGCUCGGUUUUGGAAGCGGGCGCGGCCCCGAAUAUGUCAUAUGCAUGGCGUAGUAUCUGCCAUGGAAUAGAGCUCAUAAACAAGGGUAUAAUCUGGAGGGUUGGAGAUGGGGCGAAUAUCAGGAUUUGGGAAGAUCCAUGGAUCCCGAGGGCUUGGUCGAGAAGAGUUAUUACGCCUAGAGGAGGCAGUUUACUAACCAGGGUGUCGGAACUAAUUGAUCCGACCGGCCAAUGGGAUACAGAGCUUGUUCAAGACAAUUUCUGGGAGGAAGACGCUGAGCUGAUUCUUCAGAUGCCACUAUGGGAUGGUGCGGUCGACUUUGCAGCAUGGCAUUACGACUCAAAAGGGCUCUUCUCAGUUAAA
rnacentral:rRNA from 1 species